UUGUUUUUCUAUCCGUAUCAGAAAUGUAUCCUGGAAGAAGAUGCUCUCCAGCUGUCUACACAUGUGCGUUGCUGCAAAACUUUCCAUACAACCUGGCAAGAAAUGACUAGAUCCCCACCUAUUUCUAGAUUGGAGCCAAUGGAGCAAAGAAAAGAGAAUUCUCCAAAUGAGGCUGCUGAGUCACUUUAACAUGUUAAAGAUACAUUCUACAGAUUGCCAGUGGCAGAAACCACAAAUGGAUUUCUUGAAACCCAAAAACUUCAGAAAAAGCAAAUGAGUCUCAUUGUCUUUUACCUCUUCUCAUCUCCAGUAAAAAGAAUCCCAGAACAGCCACUGAAGACCUCAGUUGUGAUGGCUCCUAGUGCUUACCUCUUCAGCGACAGAGAGGAUUGCAGUGUGUGAAGAGAUGACUUACACCUGAUCUCAUCAUAACAGGAGGCUUAGCCAGCUUCAUGGCAUGCAGUCAUUUAAGCACCCAGCUUCCUUAUGUCCUGGGAACGUGACACAAAGAAUUUCAUAAUGCGAGAGCUGUUCUUCAGUGUACAGAAAAAUCAGUAUUCAGAAGUCUGUGUCAAGUGCAAGUAGUUGUGCUGCAGAAUGCUGUGUGGAAUUUCUAUAGAGGGAUACUUCUGUCUAUCAGUUUGUCUGUCUGUCUGUCUAUCUAUCUUAUCUACCUGUUUUCAACUCAUUUUGGCUCACAUGUUUGAUCUGAAUUAAAACUUAAUGUGUAAAUAGCAGGGGGAAUGGAAUGAGAAGACUAUGAUAAUAUUUAUUUUUAUAUACAGAGAACUGAGGCACAACCCACUUGUCCAUCUUGGUUUAUCAAACUUGAUGAUAAAAUCAGAGAGUAAGACGCGCUAUGUAGUCACUUAAAAGAAAAAAAAAAAAGAACCUUACUGGGAAUAUUACUUAAGUAGCAGUUUAUUUCUUUGCACUGGAGUAUAGCUCAAUGCUUGUAGCAGGUGUGAAUACCAU